GAUGAAGAACGCAGCGAAAUGCGAUAAGUAAUGUGAAUUGCAGAAUUCAGUGAAUCAUCGAAUCUUUGAACGCACCUUGCGCCCUGUGGUAUUCCGCAGGGCAUGCCUGUUCGAGCGUCAUUUCAACCCUCAAGCUCUGCUUGGUGUUGGGCCCUGCCCGCUGCGGCCGGCCCUAAAGACAGUGGCGGUGCCGCCUGGCCCUGAGCGUAGUACAUCUCUCGCUCCAGUGCCCGGUGGUAGCCUGCCAGAACCCCAACUCUCGUGGUUGACCUCGGAUCAGGUAGGGAUACCCGCUGAACUUAAGCAUAUCAAUAAGCGGAGGA
rnacentral:misc_RNA from 1 species